AAGUCGGUGACGACGGGGUGAAGGAAGUGGGGAAGCAAGUCUUUCGAGCCUACGAACAGAAACUUGAUAUAAGGCUAAAUGGUGGAUAAGGGCGCAACUCAAACCGAAGUCCAAAGGGUAAACGUAAACCAAGACAGUAAAUCAAGAGGUUGUGAAAGUGAAAAAGAUAUGUAU
rfam:Erysipelotrichaceae bacterium MTC7 Contig_14, whole genome shotgun sequence.